UCGAGGGGCAGCAUGAACUUAGCUUGCUAAGUUUGAUGGCGACCGGCGCACGGGUGAGUAACACGUAUCCAACCUGCCGAUGACUCGGGGAUAGCCUUUCGAAAGAAAGAUUAAUACCCGAUGGCAUAGUUCUUCCGCAUGGUCGAACUAUUAAAGAUUUAUCGGUAAGCGAUGGGGAUGCGUUCCAUUAGGUAGUAGGCGGGGUAACGGCCCACCUAGCCGACGAUGGAUAGGGGUUCUGAGAGGAAGGUCCCCACAUUGGAACUGAGACACGGUCCAAACUCC
rnacentral:rRNA from 1 species